rnacentral:rRNA from 1 species
ACGUAGGUGGCAAGCGUUAUCCGGAAUUAUUGGGCGUAAAGCGCGCGUAGGCGGUUUUUAAGUCUGAUGUGAAAGCCCACGGCUCAACCGUGGAGGGUCAUUGGAAACUGGAAAACUUGAGUGCAGAAGAGGAAAGUGGAACUCCAUGUGUAGUGGUGAAAUGCGCAGAGAUAUGGAGGAACACCAGUGGCGAAGGCGACUUUCUGGUCUGUAACUGACGCUGAUGUGCGAAAGCGUGGGGAUCAGACAGGAUUAGAUACCCUGGUAGUCAAGGGCG